rnacentral:lncRNA from 1 species
GUACUUGUUCCCUUCUUCUCUAUCUAAAGGUGUGUUCAAUUUUAGGAUCAAUUGGGAGUAGAUCGAUAAUUCAAUCUAUGUUCAUAAGCACCUGAAAAAUCACAAAAAAUAACUAAGUUAAGAUUACUAGAAAAAUCAACUAAAUUUCAAAGUAAUUAACUUCACAAAUAAUGACUAAAAUAGUCUCCGGCAACGACAUCAAAAACUUGUCGCAGGAUUAUUGAAUGAUGUGUAGGUGUACACAGUCAUCAAAAAGUGAUAUAGUAGUGAGUAAAAAGUAUCGUCUCCAUAGGGACUAUAUGUAAGGCAAAUAUUAUGCAAUUAACAACUAGCAAGUUGGUGAUGGAAAUAAUAAAGAGAGAAUUGAGUUAACUAAUUAACCUAAUUAAAAUUAACUAAGUGUGUACAACAAUUAAAAUGUAACACAGAAUGUAAGUACCAAAUAAUCACAAUGACAUGAAGGGAUAGAAUAACCACAUUCCCCUAACUUAUGACCAUUAAAAACAAUGCUAUGGAAGGUUAUGGUAAAACCCGUGGGAAUUUGGCUGUUUAUUAACCUAGAAUCUUUAAGUUAUGAAGUCUCACUUUUAACUUUUUAGUUUCUUUAGCAUAUAUGUAUGUUUAAAUAACUUCAAGGUUUAUAUGCAAGCAUCAUACCUAUGGGUUAUGCAAGGUAACAAUAUCGCUAAAUACCAUUACUAAUUCAAUUAUUAAGAAAUCAGACAUGCACCAUUCAAAUAGUGUGUCCACUAACUACCAACUUGUUUAGACUAAUAAAUCAAUUUAUAUUUUUCCCAACACUACUUAUGCAUUAGCAAGCAUGAUCAUGAUAUUAUUUGAAUGAAUAAACAACCAAUGCACAAAACUUCAACAACAGAUUAAUAGCACAAGCUAAAGGAUCAUAAUUAAUCUAGAAUCAACAAAAUAAAGUCAUACCGAUUAAAUUAAAGGUAAAAGAAUAAUUUGCAAUCAUGUUUAUCAAUCUAGUAAUAAACUAAAAUAUUAAAGGAAGGAAAAUUGUAAGGCUGAUUCUAGUGGUUCUCCAAGGUAGUACUCAUGUUGCUCCUCC